CGAGCACGCGCGUGUGGCAUAUCAAUAAGCGGAGGAAAAGAAACUAACAAGGAUUCCCUUAGUAACGGCGAGUGAAGCGGGAAGAGCUCAAAUUUGAAAUCUUCAAGGUUCUACCUUGACGAAUUGUAGUUUAUAGAAGUGUUUUCUGUUAGUAGGAGUGGUAAAAGUUCUUUGGAAUAGGACAUCAUAGAGGGUGAGAAUCCCGUAUUUGACCAUUACUUCCAGCGUUGUGAUACACUUUCAACGAGUCGGAUUGUUUGGGAAUGCAGUCCAAAAUGGGUGGUAAAUUUCAUCUAAAGCUAAAUAUUGGCGAGAGACCGAUAGCGAACAAGUACCGUGAGGGAAAGAUGAAAAGAACUUUGAAAAGAGAGUUAAACAGUACGUGAAAUUGUCAAAAGGGAAGCGUUUGACACCAGUGUUGUUUUUCCGAAAAUCAAUUACGAAUGUUUUGUUUUUGAGGAGUUAUGACUUCAUCGGCUUGCUCCUUUCUUUACGAAACUUUCUUAAUGCACUUUUCGGUUAACAAGUCAACAUCAAUUUCUUUUGUUGUAAAAGGGUAUGAGGAAGGUGGCUUUCUUUUCGGAGAAAGUGUUUAUAGCCUUGUGCCUCUGCAAUCGGAGAGAUUGAGGUCUGCAGCGUAGAUCCUUCGGGGUUAGAUACGUUUGUGCUAAGUUAUAGCUUUUCAUAGACAACUUGUUGACUAUGUUUAGUCUUGUAGCUUACUCGCUGACGCUAUUUUACCUACGCUUAGGAUGUUGAGUAGCGACAUACGGCAC
rnacentral:rRNA from 1 species